UACGGGGGGGGCAAGCGUUGUUCGGAAUUACUGGGCGUAAAGGGCUCGUAGGCGGCCAACUAAGUCAGACGUGAAAUCCCUCGGCUUAACCGGGGAACUGCGUCUGAUACUGGAUGGCUUGAGAUUGGGAGAGGGAUGCGGAAUUCCAGGUGUAGCGGUGAAAUGCGUAGAUAUCUGGAGGAACACCGGUGGCGAAGGCGGCUCACUGGUCCGGUACUGACGCUGAGGUGCGAAAGCGUGGGGAGCAAACGGG
rnacentral:rRNA from 1 species